rnacentral:rRNA from 1 species
GACGAACGCUGGCGGCAUGCCUUACACAUGCAAGUCGAACGGCAGCACGGGUGCUUGCACCUGGUGGCGAGUGGCGAACGGGUGAGUAAUACAUCGGAACGUACCUAUCGUGGGGGAUAACGCAGCGAAAGUUGCGCUAAUACCGCAUACGCCCUGAGGGGGAAAGCGGGGGACCGUAAGGCCUCGCGCGAUUAGAGCGGCCGAUGUCUGAUUAGCUUGUUGGUGAGGUAAAAGCUCACCAAGGCGAUGAUCAGUAGCUGGUCUGAGAGGACGAUCAGCCACACUGGGACUGAGACACGGCCCAGACUCCUACGGGAGGCAGCAGUGGGGAAUUUUGGACAAUGGGGGCAACCCUGAUCCAGCAAUGCCGCGUGAGUGAAGAAGGCCUUCGGGUUGUAAAGCUCUUUUGUCAGGGAAGAAACAGCAGCUCUAACACAGUCUGCGAAUGACGGUACCUGAAGAAUAAGCACCGGCUAACUACGUGCCAGCAGCCGCGGUAA